GCCACUGCCUGAUUUGCUGAAGGAGCGCUGGAGCCGAGUUUCCAAGGGACCCGGUAACACACAGCUGUCACAGCUAGUGGCAGAAAGCCACUUCUUCCCAGCUGCUUCCCCAGCCCUGGCAAGAGGGCACCCUCUUCCAAAAGCCAGUCUACUUGGGGAGGAGGUUGCUCCGUGCUAAGUGUUACCAUAUUUGUUUGGAGAUGGGUGCUAGGAUGUAAACUGACUGUUGUCCGAUCUCUUCUUCCAACACAAAAACCAUGAGGCUGCUUUUGUUCCAGAUAAUGGAUGUGUAAAGUCACGGAGUUUCAGACUGCCUAAAUUCCUGAGUCAUUAUGAGGAUACAUAAUGUGAGGUAGAAGUAGACUUUUUAUUGUUUUAAGUUCCUGGAAAUUUGUUACCCUAAUAUACACAGCCUUUGUUGACUAGUGCAGCUUUCC